GAUGAACGCUGGCGGCGUGCCUAAUACAUGCAAGUCGAGCGAACAGACGAGGAGCUUGCUCUUCUGACGUUAGCGGCGGACGGGUGAGUAACACGUGGAUAACCUAUCUAUAAGACUGGGAUAACUUCGGGAACCCGGAGCUAAUACCGGAUAAUAUAUUGAACCGCAUGGUUCAAUAGUGAAAGACGGUUUUGCUGUCACUUAUAGAUGGAUCCGCGUCGCAUUAGCUAGUUGGUAAGGUAACGGCUUACCAAGGCGACGAUGCGUAGCCGACCUGAGAGGGUGAUCGGCCACACUGGAACUGAGACACGGUCCAGACUCCUACGGGAGGCAGCAGUAGGGAAUCUUCCGCAAUGGGCGAAAGCCUGACGGAGCAACGCCGCGUGAGUGAUGAAGGUCUUCGGAUCGUAAAACUCUGUUAUUAGGGAAGAACAAAUGUGUAAGUAACUAUGCACGUCUUGACGGUACCUAAUCAGAAAGCCACGGCUAACUACGUG
rnacentral:rRNA from 1 species